rnacentral:lncRNA from 1 species
GGCUCGUUUAAUUUUCAUAGAAUUUUGACAAAGUAUUUACUUUGACCCUUUAACAAAAAUAUAAAAAAUUCAAAAAAAUUGAACCAAGCGUUUUAUCAGAAAAAUUACACUGGUUAUGUAGCAGUUUGACAAACUCUAAUUUUGAUCAUUGAGAAGCUUUAUAUUGCCUUCACAACGCAACGUAAUUAAAACGUUUAGCUGAUAUUUCAGAGUUAUCUCCCUGUAG